GACGAACGCUGGCGGCGUGCCUAAUACAUGCAAGUUGAGCGCUGAAGGUUGGUACUUGUACCAACUGGAUGAGCAGCGAACGGGUGAGUAACGCGUGGGGAAUCUGCCUUUGAGCGGGGGACAACAUUUGGAAACGAAUGCUAAUACCGCAUAAAAACUUUAAACACAAGUUUUAAGUUUGAAAGAUGCAAUUGCAUCACUCAAAGAUGAUCCCGCGUUGUAUUAGCUAGUUGGUGAGGUAAAGGCUCACCAAGGCGAUGAUACAUAGCCGACCUGAGAGGGUGAUCGGCCACAUUGGGACUGGGACACGGCCCAAACUCCUACGGGAGGCAGCAGUAGGGAAUCUUCGGCAAUGGACGAAAGUCUGACCGAGCAACGCCGCGUGAGUGAAGAAGGUUUUCGGAUCGUAAAACUCUGUUGGUAGGGAAGAACGUUGGUGAGAGUGGAAAGCUCAUCAAGUGACGGUAACUACCCAGAAAGGGACGGCUAACUACGU
rnacentral:rRNA from 1 species